UCCAGGUACUCAGGCCAUCAUCUGCUGACUCCCAGGAUGUAUUAGCAGGAAGCUGGAUGGGAAGCAGAGGAGCUGGUACUUGAACAAGUGGUAGCUUUACCUACAUCAUCAGGACUUCCUCCCCAUGGGCCUAUUUUUUCUUUUUUUUUUUUUUUAAUGUUUUCUAUUACUUGCACUUCAAGACUUUUUUUUUUUGUUAAGAUUUAUUUAUUUAUUUGAAAGUCAGAGUUACACAGAGAAGGAGAGGCGGGGGGGGGGGGGGGGAGGUCUUCAAUCUGCUGUUUCACGCCCCAGAUGGCUGCAAUGGCCAGAGCUGCACCGAUCUGAAGCCAGGAGCCAGGAGCUUCUUCUGGGUCUCCCAUGUGGGUGCAGGGGCCCAAGGACUUGGGCCAUCUUCCACUGCUUCCCCAGGCCAUAGCAGAGAGCUGGAUUGGAAGAGGAGCAGCUGGGACUCUAACUAGUGCCCAUAUGGUAUGCUGGCUCUGCAGGCGGCGGCUUUACUCGAUAUGCCACAGUGCUGGCCCCUAUUUGUUCUUUUUUUUCUUUUUCUUUUCUUUUCUUUUUUUGACAGGCAGAGUGGACAGUGAGAGAGAGAGACAGAGAGAAAGGUCUUCCUUUGCCGUUGGUUCACCCUCCAGUGGCCGCCGCGGCCGGCGCGCUGUGGCCAGCGCACCGCGCUGAUCCGAUGGCAGGAGCCAGGAGCCAGGUGCUUUUCCUGGUCUCCCAUGGGGUGCAGGGCCCAAGCACCUGGGCCAUCCUCCACUGCACUCCCUGGCCACAGCAGAGGGCUGGCCUGGAAGAGGGGCAACUGGGACAGAAUCCGGCGCCCCGACCGGGACUAGAACCCGGUGUGCCGGCGCCGCUAGGCGGAGGAUUAGCCUAGUGAGCCGCGGCGCCGGCCGAGCUAGAGUUUUCAAGGUACGUCAUCAUACUUGUAUUGAUUGGAUUGUGGAGUGUGGUGGUGAUGGCAGAAGACUAGAGACAAAGCUAGUUACAAGUACACUGGAAAUGUGAUUUCUAGCUGUAUAUUUUCAGCACACUUAAUGACAGUAAAAACAAUUUGGAUAUCUUGUGAAAAAGAAUUUCUUUUAAGUCCUCUUUAUGUCAGGGUUUCUUAACUGAGGUCUCUAGUAUGUAGAUAGACUUAAUUGGGUCUGUGAAAUUCUUUGGAGUUUUUUGUUGUUGUUGUUGUUGUUUGUUUGUUUGUAACCAUAGUUUUUAUGUCUAUUUCCCCUUUCCUUCCAGAAAAUCAUCAGGCUUAGAGUAAUUAACUGUGGGGACUCUUAACUGGGGAGUAAAUGACAGAGGGGGUUAGGAAUCAUAUUUUAGUUGAUAAUGCAGAUUACCCUUUUUAAUUGUUCAUCUUCAUUGCAUAUGAAUCACAGAGUCCUGAAUUUUCUUAGCAGGCUUGGGAGGUAUUUAUAGCUUUAGACUGAAUUUACACUGAUGUGGAGAGCAGUUUUCCUUACUGAUGAUUAAUUUUAUUUAUUUUUAUUUUUCCAUCCACUGAUUCACUCCCCAAAUGGCUGCAGUGGCUGCGGCUGGGCCAGGCCAAAGCAAGGAGUUGGGUACUUCAUCUGGUCUGCCAUGUGGGACUGUGUUUCAAAAUGAUGGCAUAAUUAAAAGUUGCCUGACUUGGGCUGGUGUUGUGGUGCAGUAGGUUAAGUACUGCUUAUGAUGGUGGCCUCCCAUUUGGAAGUUCUAGUUUGAGUGCCACUGCUCAACUCCAUACUGAUACACCUGGGAAUGCAGUAGAGGAUAGUCUAAGUACUUGGGCCACUGCUGCCCAUUUGGGAAGUCAGAAUGGAGUUCUUGGCUCCUAUCUUUGGCCUGGUCCAGACCUGGCAGUUGCUGCCAUUUGGGGAGUGGACCAGUGGAUCCACAUUUUGUGUGUGUGUGUGUGUGUGUGUGUAUCUGUCUCCCCCCCCCCCCCCGCCAUCUCUUUCUAUAUUGCUCUGUUUUUCAAAUAAAUAAGUUUUUUUUUUUUUUUUUAAAGCAGUUGGCUGAUUUGUGUUUUCCCUUUAUUACUGUUAGGACAUUAAAGCAGCAUAGGAAGGUGUUUGUUCUGUAGGGUGGUAAAGCAACACACAAUUAUCACUGGAAAUGUGUUCAGCCACCUGACCAUAUUUUGAGAUAAUUUUUCUGAAAAUCAAAAAAAUGAAUCCCCCUAAAAUCCAGUUUGUUUUAUUCUGGUUUUGGAAAUACUGGUUGAGGAUCUCUCUCUCUCUCUCUCUCUUUUUUUUAAUAAUACAGUUUUUUAAAGAUGUAUUUAUUUAUUUGAAAGGUAGACUUACAGAGAGAGAGAGAGACGGGGUGAAUGGAGAGACAGAAUCUUCCAUCCUCUUAUUCGCUUCCCAAAUGGCUGCAAUGGCUGGAGCUGGGCUGAUCUGAAAGAAGGAGCCAAGAGCUUUUUCUGGGUCUCCCACAUUGGUGCAGGGACACAAGUACUUGAGCCAUCCUCCGUUGCUUUCUCAGGUGUAUUAGGGAGCUGGAUCAAAAGUGGAGUAGCCAGGACUUGAAUUGGUGCCCAUAUGGGAUGCCAGUGCUGCAGGUGGUGGCUUCACCUGCUAUACGACAGCGCUGGUUCCCAGGUUGAGUUAUCUCUUACCCAUAAUGCUUGGGAUUAGAAGUGUUUUUGGAUUUUGCAAUUUCAGAUUAGUGAUACACAACCUGUAUCCUUAUAACAGUAUCCUGUGUGCUCAUUUGUAGAAAAUUCAGACUAUGCAGGAAAAGUGUGAAGAAGACACAGACACCACUUAGAGAUGUUUAUGGCCAACCUUUGGGUGAAUAUCUAUCCUUCCAUGCUUUUCUCUAUAGGUUUACAUGAGGAGUAGGUGUCUGUACAUGUAUGUGUGUGAGGGAGGGAGAUUUUUAAUCAGUUCCCCUCAGUGAAAAAAAUCUGUGGAGAGAAUCUCUUGUCAAUUAUUGGAUUAGUCCUAGUCAGUGUAGACUGUGACAUGGGUGCUAUAAGAAAAUGGCAGUUUGCAUGUGGAUCAUUGAUUAAAGGGAGCUUGGGAGGAAAGAAUAGUGGUUGCAUAGAGCAAGGGAAUUUAAAGCAUUGAUAUGAUCAUUAAAGAAAUUCCUGUGGGCUCAGCAUCGAUUCUAAUUUGUUACUGCUGUGACUGGGGGUGGUCUAGUGCAUAUUUUCAUUGCAUAAUAUAGUGAGUUUCAUAUUGACAGUUUCAGCCUUUAAAAGUGUUGCUGGUUUGUGAAUCAAAGUUAAGGUGACUCCCCCCUUUCUCAAGUCACUAGGUACCUCAGGUUUUUUUCCUACAGUUUUUAUGAUUAGUUUUAGUGUACGCUGCUCUGUAUAUCCAGAUUUUUCACUCAAAUAGGUAUCAGUUGUAAAAAUACCAUUUUUUGGUCUGAAACUCAUCUUUUCUCACUGGGAUGAGAUGCCACCAUCAUAAUUUUGAAAUUUUUAAUUAAUUGUUGUCAUUCAUAUCAUUAGAAGUUAUUCCUCUAUUCAGCUGUACCCAUUAACCAUCCUCUCUCCAGGUUCCCUCCCCCACGCCCCUUCUAGGCUCUGUUUUCUACUUCUGUAACAUCAACUUUUUUAGAUUCCACAUGUAAGUAAGGACAUUCAGUAUUUGUCUUUCUGUGCCUUGAUUUAUUUCACUUAACACAGUGUCCUCCAGUUCCAUCCAUGUUGCUGCAAAUGACAGAAUUUCAUUCUUUUAUGGGCUAAAUAAUCAUUAUGUAUAUAUACCCAAACCUGUUUAUUCAUUCAUCCAUUUAUAGAAAAUAUAUUUUUUAAAAAAUACAUCCUAGAGCUAGUGUAAUUGACCACAGACUGUAGAUAUUUAAAGUGUACAUUAAUUAAAAUGAACAGUUGACAUAUGUGCAUUCCUGUGAAACCAUUACCUUAGUUAGGAUAAUGAAUGGAUCCCAUCCCUCACCUCCACGAUCUUCAGGCAAGUACUGAUCUGCCUUCUGCCAUUGUAGAUGAGUAGUGUGCAUGUUUUAGAAAUUUGUACAAAUUGGAUCAUGCAGUAUAUACUUUGUUCUGGCCUGUUUCACUCAAUAUUUAAUUGUUUUUUUGAAAUCCAUACAUAUUGCACCAUGUAUCAAUAAUGAUUUCUUUUUAUUGUUUAGUAGUCUUCCAUUUUAUGGCUAUUUCACAGUUUGACCAUUUCCUCUUCUGAUUUUUUAACAGUUAAAAAUGAAGCUACAAUGAACAUCUGUAUGUGGACAUCUACAUUCAUUUAUUUUGGUUAGAUAAAUUCCACCUGAAGGUGAAGUGGCUUGAUUGUAUGGUAGUUAUAUUAGCCAGGUUUAACUUUUUCAGAAACUGUCAAAAUACAUUCUAGAGUGGCUCUCCAUAAAGAUAACCUUUUAUUGACUCAUGUACAUGGUUUAGGGCCUUGCUACUCAAAAGGUUUUGUGUGUUAUUUGACAUCUGCUGAGAGUUUAUUAAAAUGCUGAGCCUUAAGUGUCUUCUAGAUAAGUGAAAUGGAAACAUGCAUUUUAAAAAAAGAUCCCAGGUGGCUGGUGUUGUGGCACAGUGUGUAAAGCUACCAUCUGUAAUAUGAGCAUCCCAUAUUGGUGCUGGUUUGAACCCCUGUUGCUCAGCUUCUGAUCCAGCAGGAAGCAGCAAAUGUCCCAAGUCCUUGGUCUUCUGGUCUCCCAACCCCAGCUGAUGUGGCCAUUUAGGGAGUUUAACUAGCAGAUGGAAGAGUUGUCCCCCUGAUGCUCUCUCUAUAACUCUGCCUUUCAAAUAAAUAAAUAUUAAACAAAAAAAAUCCCAGUUAUUCACAUGCACAUUUGAAUUUGAGAAGCUCUAGCUGAGAGAUGGAGUUGUCAGCGUUUUUUCUGGCUGUAGACUCCUGAAUUCUUUGAUAUGAUUCUGUAAAAUUCUCAAAUAGGGAUUGGGAGUUGUAGGAUUGUUUUGUUUUCUGAGUCUGAAAUAUAAUACUGAUAAAUGUUAGUCUGUUUUGAAUGUUCUCUAAUUUUCAUUGUUGAGUGAAUAUUUAAGAGUAAACUACAUUGAUGUUCUUGGUGUCACUUUUCUGAAUUAGUCUAGGUGUUUGAAAAUCUUGAAGUCAGCAUUAGGAAAUUCUCAAUUCAAAACAAGUUCUCAAAACUCAGCAAUUAAAUAUGUGGACAAAAGAGUAAACAUUGUGGAGUAAGGGUUUUACAACUUAUAAUUGAGUUCAUUCCAAAAAUUGAUUUGUAAGUCAAACUUCCUGUAGUUAAAAUGCUUACGAUAAAAUAUUUCUACACGAUAAGACUGCUUUCACUUUUAUAUUUCUGUUUAAGAUAUCAGUUACUCAGUCCAUUUAAGCCUCCCACUCCCACCUUUUCUUCAGACUCCUCCCAGGUAGUUAAGAUACUGAACCCAUAGGUGAUUCAGUUCUUUUUAGUCAUUUACAGUUUAACAUAGCUGUUCCUUUACGAGAAUCAACUCUUCACCCUGCUAUUAAAUUCUAAAAGGAAUUUAUUGCAAAUGGGCACUUAACUAUUUGGUUGAUAAAUGUCUUUAAAGAUGAUUUUACCGAAAAAAAAAAAAACAAAACAACAAACUUUAAAAUGUGUUUACUUGAUUUUAACUAAAAGCUUAAAUGUGUUUUUGGGGAUGCAAAGUUAAUGAAAUUAUAUAACAUUUACAAAGACAGUUAUGUACUUAAAAUAUUUAAGAAAUAUAUAGUUGCAUGUUCUUCAGGUUGGUGUGUUCUGAAAUUGUGGUGAAAGACCAAUCUUUUUUUUUUUUUUUAAGAUUUAUUUUUAUUUAUUUGGAAGUUACAAAGAGAGGUGGAGACACAGAGAAAGUCUUCUAUCUGCUAGUUCACUCCCUAAAUGGCUGCAAUGGCCAGAACUGAGCUGAUCCAUUGCAAGGAGCCAGGAGCUUCUUCCAGGUCUCCCACAUGGGUACUGGGGCCCAAAGACUUGGGCCAUCUUCUGCAGAUUUCCCAGGUACGUUAGCAGGGAGUUGGAUCAGAAGUGGAGCAGCUAGAACUCAAACCACUGCUCAAAUGGGUUGCUGGCACUGCAAGCCAGGGCUUUAACCUGCUGCACCACAGCUCUGACCUCCGCGGAAGACCAAUCUUAAAAAAAAAUUUUAGAGGCAUUACUUGGUGUAAUGGUUAAGAUACCACUUGGGAUGCCCAUAGUCCCAUAUUGGAGUACCUGGUUCAAGUCCUGUCUGCUCCUGAUUCCAGCUUCCUGCUAGUGUGCAGUCUGGGAGGCAGCAGAUGAUGGCUUAAGUGCUUGGGUCCCUGUCACCCAUGCAGGAGUCCUGGAUUGAGUUCCAGCUCCUAGCUUUGACCUAGUGCAGCCUUGGCUGUUGACAGCAUUUGGAGAGGGAGUCAGUUUUUGGAAAAUCAGUUUCUCUUUUGAGUAAUAAAAUAAAUAAAAAUAAAAAAAUGUAAUUUACUGAGUACCAAUACUUUUGUCAAGUAUAAUGAAAAUACAUUACUAGGAAUACUAAAUAAAAGGGAAAAUAAAAGACCACAGUUUGAAUAGUGCUACCUUAAAUUGUGUUUUAAACUGUUCUCAAAGUAUAUAGUCUCAAAUCCACAGCAUCAUUAUCCCAUGGGAACUUGUUAGAAAUACACAUGGUCUGGUUUUAAUUUUAAGCUGAAACAGUAGCAGAGAAAAGAAAACAAAUUGUCUGAUUUCAUCUUAGACUACUGAAUUAGUUAGCUUAGCACUGUGUUGAAUCAAGGCUUUCAAGGGAUACUGAAGUACCCUAAAAUUUGAGGGCUACUGUUGGACUUUCAUUCUACAUGCUGAUUAUCUGGGUUAUUUAUUUAUUUAAAAGACAUUUUAAUUUUAGCUGAAAGGGCAGAAUUACACAGAGCGAGGGAGAGAGACAGUGAAAAAUCUUUAACCUGGUGGUGCAUUCCCCAAAUGACUGUAAUGACUGGGGCUAGGCCAGGUGGAAGCCAGGAACCUGGAACACCAUCUGCAUCUCCCUGUUGGGUGGCAGGGGCCCAAGCCCUGAACCAUCAUCUUCCACUGCCUUCCUAGGUGCAUUAGCAGGAGCAGCAGGGACUCACUCAUGAGACUCUGGUGAUGAAGGCGUUAGCUUAAUCAGCUGCACUGCAAUGCUGGCCCCAGUCUGGGGUUUUUAAAGUAGUUUACUUUUGCUUUUAACUCUUAUAAACCCUAAACUUUCUUUGAGUGCCAACUAUGUAAGUAAGACUAAAAGACAAGGUUGGUUAUAAAAAAUAUUUCAGAGAUCCUUAAAUAGGAAAAAUGUAAAAAGAUUGAUAUAGGUGAAAUAUGUGCUAAAUGAAAAGGAAGAUUCUGAUGUUUUAGCUACCACAAGUAUUGGUCACAUAAUUAAAAAAUCUGUUGAUAAGAGUCAAGAAGCCUGAUUUUGCUAUUGCCCAGAUAAAUGCACAUGUAUAUUUCAGAACUCUUCGUAGCUAUGAGAUGUCAGGGCUCCCAGAGCCAGUGAAUCAGACUACUCUAAGUUGGAUGUUUGACAGGUGAUUCAGUGCAUAUUAAAAGAAAUUACCAUGCUAAUACGUUUCAGAAAUUUGUCUCGAUGAUCCUGGCUUUUUUCUUUCUUUUUUAAAGAUUUAUUUACUUAUUUGGAAGGCAGAAUUACACAGAGAAGGGAGAGACAGAGUGAGAAAACUUCCAUCUGCUGGUUUACUUCUCAAAUGGCUGCAAUGACCUGGGUUGAGCCAGGCCAAAUCCAGGAGCCAGGAGCUUCUUCCAGGUCUCCCACGUGGGUGGCAGGGACCCAGGGACUUGGGACCUUUUCCACAGCUUUCCCACAAUAGCAGAGAGCUGGAUAGGAAGUGGAGCAGCUGGGACUUGAACCAGUGUCCAUAUGGGAAAAUCAUGUGAUCUGUUAAAAAAACAAGGUGAUUUUUACUUCUUUCUCUCUCAAGUUGAAUGUUCUCCCACUGUUUUCUCUGUUGUUUUUGCCUACCUUUCUGCUUCUCUCCAUUUUGUCUGCUGAUUACACUGACUAGAACUUUCAUAUAUAGUAUUGUAGUGUUACAGUUGAUAUUCUUGUUUUCUUUCUAAUUUUAGGAGAAAAAUACUUAGUAUUUCACUUAAAUGUGAUAUUAGUUGUGGCUUUAUUUUUGUAGAUGCCCUUUAGCAGAUUGAAGAAAUUCCCUUUUAGUUUUCUGGGAAUUCUUAGUAUGGAUGUUGGCUUUUUUCAGAUGCUGUUCCUGAGUCUGUUUCAGCUUUUCUUUAUAACAAUGUAUUAGCAUGGUGAAUUAUUGCUCUGAAUGUAAGCCAUUUCUGCAUUCUUAGGAUAAACUCCAUUUUAAUUUAAUGCUGGAUUGUGUUUGCUAACUUUUUGGGUAGAGUGAUUUCAUCUGUAUUCAGAGGGAUAUUUGUUUUCCUUUCCCAAUGUCUUUUCCAAUUUUAGGAUCAGAGUAACCCUGGUCUAAUAGAAUGAAUUGGGAAAUAUUUCUUCCUCAAACAUUGGUGAAAUUCACCGGCAAAGCCAUCUGUCCCUGGAGUUGGUGUGUGUUUUUUUUUUUUUUUUUUUUUUU